rnacentral:misc_RNA from 1 species
GAAGAACGUAGCGAAAUGCGAUAAGUAAUGUGAAUUGCAGAAUUCAGUGAAUCAUCGAAUCUUUGAACGCACAUUGCGCCCGCCAGUAUUCUGGCGGGCAUGCCUGUUCGAGCGUCAUUUCAACCCUCAAGCCCCCGGGCUUGGUGUUGGGGAUCGGCGUGCCCUCGCGGCGCGCCGUCCCCUAAAUCUAGUGGCGGUCUCGCUGUAGCUUCCUCUGCGUAGUAGCAACACUCGCACUGGAUCGCAGCGCGGCCACGCCGUUAAACCCCCCACUUCUGAAAGUUUGACCUCGGAUCAGGUAGGAAUACCCGCUGAACUUAAGCAUAUCAAUAAGCGGAGGA